CUUCCCUUCCAGCAGAGGUCCCAGGGCCCCCCAGCCUGUGCAGGGAGCUCUAAACUUGACAUUAGAACAGCCAAAUUCAAGUUCUGGUUAUCUUAUUUUUCUUUUAGAAGACCUGGAACAAAUCUUCCUGGGACUUGGUUUUCUCAUCUAUGUAAUUAAUGAAUUCAACAGCCCCUGCGCCCCUGCCCACAGGGUUGUAGUCCCAAUCCUGAGCAGGAGUCUCCAUGUGCUGGGUCAGCACUGUCCUCUGAUAAGAGACCAGCUCGUGUUUGCUCAGAGAUAACGCCCAGGGCCUGGAACAGGAAAGGCACCAGCCCUUUGGCCUGAUGUCAGAUCAGUGUGGCUAGAAGCAUAAACUGGGUGAAGCAGAGGGUGAGUACCAGGCACGUGCUGCUGAGAUAAUCUGGGGAACCACAAAGGGACCAAAGUAGGGGAUGGCUCGCUUUCACUGUUUGGCUUUCCAUCAUUUAAAAAUGUUGGGAGUUCCUUCUGACGUUGAUGUGCAAGAAUCUUCAUUUGUCCUACUGGCUGAAAAAAGAAGUCUCAUUUAACAAUAGAUUUUUGGUAGUCACUAAAUGGUCC
ensembl:lncRNA